rnacentral:rRNA from 1 species
AUACGGAGGGUGCAAGCGUUAAUCGGAAUUACUGGGCGUAAAGCGCACGCAGGCGGUUAAUUAAGUUGGAUGUGAAAUCCCCGGGCUUAACCUGGGAACUGCAUUCAAGACUGGUUAGCUGGAGUCUCGUAGAGGGGGGUAGAAUUCCACGUGUAGCGGUGAAAUGCGUAGAGAUGUGGAGGAAUACCGGUGGCGAAGGCGGCCCCCUGGACGAAGACUGACGCUCAGGUGCGAAAGCGUGGGGAGCAAACAGGAUUAGAUACCCUGGUAGUCCACGCUGUAAACGAUGUCGACUUGGAGUUUGCGGGCAUGACCUGUGGGCUCCGGAGCUAACGCGUUAAGUCGACCGCCUGGGGAGUACGGCCGCAAGGUUAAA